rnacentral:rRNA from 1 species
UACGUAGGUGGCAAGCGUUGUCCGGAAUUACUGGGUGUAAAUGGCGUGUAGGCGGGAUAGCAAGUCAGAUGUGAAAUUCCGGGGCUUAACCCCGGCACUGCAUCUGAAACUGUUAUUCUUGAGUGUCGGAGAGGAAAGUGGAAUUCCCAGUGUAGCGGUGAAAUGCGUAGAGAUUGGGAGGAACACCAGUGGCGAAGGCGGCUUUCUGGACGAUAACUGACGCUGAGGCGCGAAAGCGUGGGGAGCAAACAGG